rnacentral:rRNA from 1 species
AGAGUUUGAUCCUGGCUCAGGAUGAACGCUGGCGGCGUGCCUAACACAUGCAAGUCGAACGGAGUUAUGAAGUUUUCGGACAGAUUAACUUAGUGGCGGACGGGUGAGUAACGCGUGGGUAACCUGCCUCAUACAGGGGGAUAACAGCUGGAAACGGCUGCUAACACCGCAUAAGAUUGCGACACCGCAUGGUGAUGCAA